AUGGUGGCCCCGGUGGCGUCGGUCCAUCCAUCAUGGACUCCUAAGACGACUUUGCACAACUUGUUCCCAUACCCUCAAGCAAGCGUUUACCCGCCACCGAGCUCACAUGGCUACCAGACCUACCUUGGCGAAGAGAACCCUUCCUAUAACUGGGCAGGGCAACCGGCUCCAUCUGAUCGUGGACCUCACUUGUACAGCUACCAAGAUGAUCCUGACUGCCUCACCUUCCUGAGAGGAUGUUUGGCUGGGCUGUGCUGCUGCUGCUUGUUGGAGCAGUGUUGCUACUACUGA
rnacentral:rRNA from 1 species